AUUGAACGCUAGCGGGAUGCUUUACACAUGCAAGUCGAACGGCAGCGCGGACUUCGGUCUGGCGGCGAGUGGCGAACGGGUGAGUAAUGUAUCGGAACGUGCCCAGUAGCGGGGGAUAACUACGCGAAAGCGUAGCUAAUACCGCAUACGCCCUACGGGGGAAAGCAGGGGAUCGUAAGACCUUGCACUAUUGGAGCGGCCGAUAUCGGAUUAGCUAGUUGGUGAGGUAACGGCUCACCAAGGCGACGAUCCGUAGCUGGUUUGAGAGGACGACCAGCCACACUGGGACUGAGACACGGCCCAGACUCCUACGGGAGGCAGCAGUGGGGAAUUUUGGACAAUGGGGGCAACCCUGAUCCAGCCAUCCCGCGUGUGAGAUGAAGGCCUUCGGGUUGUAAAGCACUUUUGGCAGGAAAGAAACGUCGCGGGCUAAAACCCCGUGGAACUGACGGUACCUGCAGAAUAAGCACCGGCUAACUACGUG
rnacentral:rRNA from 1 species